UCUAUCAUAUCUCAUAAAUCCUUUACAAUAUCCAAUCAUCAGCCUAUCACUAGAAAAACAAUUAAUCCAUAAAAAAAACAUUGAUAUUAAAUUCCCGAAAGCCACCAACAUCACCUGAAAAAUAGAUUAACCAAAAAAAUACAGAUUAACAUGUUGACCACAUACAAUUAAUCAAAUUCACAAUAAAGUUCACCAAUGUGUAAUUGAUUUAAUCAGCUUUGAUACCAAAGGGAAAAUGAGGAUAAAUAACCCCAGAGGAAAAAAAAUCACAUUUGACAAUUGACAUAAUGAAGCAGUAAACCUUAUGAGUUGUAAAAGAGAAAUAGGAAAGGGAAAAUAAGGGACAUCUUCAAUGCAUGUAGUUUAUAUUAACUUUUUUUUUUGUUCCUAAAGAUGUAUUAAGAGGAACAAGGAUAUUCAUUCAAUGCAUGCAUCUCCGAUUUGUUAAUCUAAUUAUUCUCCUAUUCCUGUUAGUUAAUAAGGGAGUCAAUAAGAUUUUAAUUUAACAAUAUAGCAGUGACAAUUAACUAGGUCUUCAUUAAGAGUUGUUGAAUUAGAAAAGAUUUAAGUAUAAACAAACUAUUGUGCAACAUAAUACAUACUGAAGAGAAAUAUCGAACCAAGUGCAAUGCCAAAUACAAGAAAAGAGAAUUUUUAGUCUAGCCUUCUAUAGAUUUCAAUUCUGAAUUUCUUUAUGCACCAAAAGGAGUAUAUUUCAAAGACUACAAAUUAAUUAAUGCAAAACAUCUAAAAACAUAACAACUUUCCAUACAUAAUUAAACAAAAUCCACCAAAAUCAAGCUAAUAAAAAGAAAGGUAAAAGUUCUAAAAAUCCAAAAGAGGAUAUCAAAAAAUUCUAGAAUCACCAGAAUCUCCCCAUUCUAUCAACCUUAAUGCCAUGCUUGUAGGCGUGUAAACACUGACCCUAUCCAACUCAAAGAAAGAAAACGCGGGCUACUAUUCUCAUUUGGAUUACAUCACAUUAGCAUUUGAGAUAUUUUUACUUUAAUGUUUCAAAGAGAAGAAUUUUUGUUAAAGCAAGAUUUUCAAUAAAUAUGUUUAAAGGAAUGCUCAUUGUCCAAGGAUUUAAAAGGAUACCGAGUAUAAGUUUGUUUACAAUAUAUUUUUUAUUUUUCUUUUUUCUUGUUAAACUACGAUAAACUGAAAAAUACAAGUAUAUCUUGAUUUUAAAAAUCAACCAAGACAAGAAAAUAGAAUGAACAACUAUUCUUAUAGGAAACGAAUGGAAAAUCUCUAAAUGUAGUCAUUGGUUUAUUAAGGAUAGUUGGAACCAUAAACAGUGGAUAAGUUUCUAAUGAAAAUAAUAAAAUCCAUCAUCUAUAUAAAUUGAGAAAAAAUAAAUUUCAUGUCAAAGAUCUAAAAAAUUUGAAGGAAACCUGAUAGUAAAACAAAUAUUCAAUUCAUAAUAGUAUGAAUAAUAAAAACAUUAUUGUCAACUAGAAAAGUAAAGUUGCUUUGUGUUUUUGUCAGCCAGUCCUAUUGUUUUUAGCAAAACAACAAACCUUAGCAUUUUAAUUGGUAACAAAUCAGAACCAACAUAAAAAUAAAAUUAGAAAAGAUAUAGAGAUGUAUUCUACCAUUGUGCAAUGCUGGUAUCGUCACCGUCUAUUCAAUAAAGAUCAAUGGCCCCCUUAGACAGGACAUAACUCGAGUGAUAGGAAAAGAAAAUUAAAUAGUUGUCAUGAGCUAUCCAAUCAAAUAUUUCAAAGAUGAUGCUAAAACAAACCAAUGUAAAAACAUUAUUACCUUGAACCAUUAUCACCAAAGCAGUGAAGUCAAACCACAGUGGCUUGCUGUCUACCUUUGCCUGACUACAUAGGUCCUUCCGAACUGAUCUAGUGUUUUUCUAAUAGUUUUAACCCCUGAAAAAAAAGUCAUCACAAAAUUCAAUAAUCAAG
rnacentral:lncRNA from 1 species